UGCCGGGUCGUCUAACGGUAGGACCGCAGACUCUGGAUCUGUGUAUCUAGGUUCGAAUCCUAGCCCGGCAG
rfam:Parcubacteria (Jorgensenbacteria) bacterium GW2011_GWA1_48_11 TY23_C0001, whole genome shotgun sequence.